CCUACGGGAGGCAGCAGUGGGGAAUAUUGCACAAUGGGGGAAACCCUGAUGCAGCGACGCCGCGUGAGCGAUGAAGUAUUUCGGUAUGUAAAGCUCUAUCAGCAGGGAAGAAAAUGACGGUACCUGACUAAGAAGCCCCGGCUAACUACGUGCCAGCAGCCGCGGGAAUACGUAGGGGGCAAGCGUUAUCCGGAUUUACUGGGUGUAAAGGGAGCGUAGACGGUCCUGCAAGCCAGAUGUGAAAGCCCGGGGCUCAACCCCGGGACUGCAUUUGGAACUGUAAGGCUAGAGUGUAGGAGAGGCAGGCGGAAUUCCUAGUGUAGCGGUGAAAUGCGUAGAUAUUAGGAGGAACACCAGUGGCGAAGGCGGCCUGCUGGACGAUGACUGACGUUGAGGCUCGAACGCGUGGGGAGCAAACAGGAUUAGAUACCCUAGUAGUC
rnacentral:rRNA from 1 species